GGGAAGCUGCGGUCGCCACCGGGACCUGCAAAGGAAGUCUAAACUGGAGGUGGGGUUGCUCCGACAAGACCCUCCGAUGCUCAAGUCAGUUCUCUGCCUCAACAAGAAUGGAGUGCUCGAACGGAGAAUUUAGCAGAGUUUUGAGAUAAGAAAUGAGCUUAGAGAAUAACGUAUCUGGAUCCCCCUUUUUAUAGGCGGAGGAGGU
rnacentral:lncRNA from 1 species